CUGGCGGUCUUUGGCCGUCCGAGUUGUAGUCUGGAGAAGUGCUUUCCGCGCUGGACCGUGUAUAAGUCUCUUGGAACAGAGCGUCAUAGAGGGUGAGAAUCCCGUCUUUGACACGGACUACCAGUGCUUUGUGAUGCGCUCUCAAAGAGUCGAGUUGUUUGGGAAUGCAGCUCAAAAUGGGUGGUGAAUUCCAUCUAAAGCUAAAUAUUGGCGAGAGACCGAUAGCGAACAAGUACCGUGAGGGAAAGAUGAAAAGCACUUUGGAAAGAGAGUUAAACAGUACGUGAAAUUGCUGAAAGGGAAACGCUUGAAGUCAGUCGCGUUGUCCGGAACUCAGCCUUGCUUUUGCUUGGUGCACUUUCCGGAUGACGGGUCAGCAUCGAUUUUGACCGUCGGAAAAGGGCUGGAGUAAUGUGGCACCUCCGGGUGUGUUAUAGACUCUGGUCGCAUACGGCGGUUGGGAUCGAGGAACGCAGCGCGCCGCAAGGCAGGGGUUCGCCCACUUUCGCGCUUAGGAUGCUGGCAUAAUGGCUUUAAACGACCCGUCUUGAAACACGGACCAAGGAGUCUAACAUACCUGCGAGUGUUUGGGUGGAAAACCCGAGCGCGGAAUGAAAGUGAAAGUUGAGACUCCUGUCGUGGGAGGCAUCGACGCCCGGACCUGACGUUCUCUGACGGAUCCGCGGUAGAGCAUGUAUGUUGGGACCCGAAAGAUGGUGAACUAUGCCUGAAUAGGGUGAAGCCAGAGGAAACUCUGGUGGAGGCUCGUAGCGAUUCUGACGUGCAAAUCGAUCGUCAAAUUUGGGUAUAGGGGCGAAAGACUAAUCGAACCAUCUAGUA
rnacentral:rRNA from 1 species